GCCCGCUUGGCUUAGUGGUACAGCGUCUCACUCGUAUCAGUACGUUAUGAGAAGAUCCCUCGUUCGAUUCGGGGAGUGGGCA